GAGAGAGACAUCGGGAAACCCAGCGGCGGUCUCAAGAUUGGGCCGAAAUUCCAAAGCGAAGGUCCGGUGGCUUGCGAGCGGCUCGAGCCGUUCCUUUCCGAGCUGGGAUAUUUUAGGGGGGCGGGGAAGGCGUCCAUUAUUUUGGAUGGUGGCGCUGCCCUGUAAAUCUGCCAAGCGAAAUUGCACCAUCGGAGCGGUUUAACUUUAGUGGGUGGGGACGAGGGUGCUUCCUUAAACAGCCAGGAGAAGAAGAAGAGCGGAGGGAACCGGGUAGGGGCGCGCUGCUUCUUCCUGGGCGGCGGCUGCUGCUGGCUGGUGCUGCUGGUGUCGCCGCCGCCGCCGCCGCCGCUCCUCUUCCCCAGCCCAGCCCCAGCUCGUGCUUCUGGAUCUAUCGCCUAACACGUGGGGCUCUUUUUGCGCGGCGGAAACUUUCGAGGGAUACUUGGUGCCAACUUGGACACGCGCUCGGUGACAGCGGCGUGGGACUCUUGCAGUGGCUUUGCGGGUGGCGGAAUCUAAGCUCCGCGCAGAUCCAGGCGCCCCUUUUCGGGCAGGGGGGUGUGCCUCUCUUCCUUCUCCCGCGAUUGGAGUCCCGCUUCCACGUUUCUGACUCUCCGGUGCUCCGGGCAUUCGACCCCCGCCGCCGCUCCCUUUUCCUAGCGCAGAAAAAUGUGGCCAGCGAGCCUUUUUAACGAACCAGCUCUGGUUUUCCUGAGGGGCGGGAGCUAACCCCACCCGUGCCUGCCGUACCUCCUAGUUUUUGUGCCGUCCAGUGUAACUCCAGAAGAUCUGGCAAGGGCGAGGAAGGCCAAGCAAGUUAAAUCCGCAGGAACGCGCUGGGGCUGCUCGCUGUCCCCCCUGACAGAAGGAACUUCCUCCUCUGCAAUAAACUUGUAUUGAACAGACAGAUACAAUAUUUAUUAAAGAGUGUCACAAGUUUUUUGCUGCGCUGAAUGUAAAUACACAUGCAUACCGAUCGUGCUGUUCCCAUUUGCAGUAAGCAAUGCUAUGCAAAGUGCAGAAAAGAAGAGACAGUAAACAAAAGAAAUGAAGGACAUGCAAUAAGGAAAAAGAAGGAAGAAAUAUCUCAACAUCAGGUUUAUACCAACAUUAUAGAUAUAUUGUAGAUACAGGCCACAUCUCUUAGACAACUUCACUGGGUUUGCCCAAACUUUGGCAGAUCUCUUAAGAGUACAUAGUGAAGCUCUGAAGGCUUUAUACUAUAGACCCGUAAGUUUGCCAGGCGCCCUGCUAAACAAAUGUCUUUUCCAUGCACGUGGGAUUUUGUGCACACACAGUGUUCCCCAGAAGAGGUCAGUCAGUGUCAGAGACAGCCCCACAGAGUCCUUUGACCUGAUUCCAUCAAAUCCAAUGUACACGCCAGAAGGCCUUUUCUGCCGGAGAGCUACUGUACAACAGUUUAUAUCUCAGCUGGUUUCAUUUUUAUGAGCUCGAAGCUGAGGGCUCUACUUCCAAGAAGCAUUACUUGAUUGAUGACUAUACAGAACAUCACAACUUGUACCCAUGCUGCAAAGUUUCAGCUGCACAGGGCAAUCUUUUAUACUAAAUUCCCCAACUGUUUUCCAAACUUGAGGUUAAUCCCAGGAAGGGAAUGUCUACAUGAGUGUCAUGAGUGUCAAUCUGGUACAGGGACGGGAACCUGUCACUCUUCUAGAUUUUGCAGAGUUACUGUUCCUUUCAUCCCAAACAGCACAGCCAUGGAGAGAAGGGCCAGGAGUUGUAAUUCAAGAAGUUCUGGAAUGCUCUCCUGUCAAGAAAUUCCCCACUCCUGCUCCAGGGCUUUUUUGAUUUUGGUUCAUUGGCUGACUCUUAGCUAAGGUUGUGGCUUUCCUAUUGCUAUUCUUACCAGAGAUGGAUGAAGUUGGAAGAUUUGACACCUUAGAUUAGCUGAAAGCAGUCUUCUUCAACCUGAAGCCCCCUAGAUGAGAUGAACUGUAGCCUACAUCACCCCUGACUGGCAAUUGGAAAUGGUGGGAGUUAUAGUCCAACACAUUUGAAAGGCCUCAACUGGGGCAGGGUGGUCUGCAGAAAUGAGAUCAACCUGAAGAGCUUUACAUAAGCUGGUCUCCGUCACAAUAUGAAUGGAUGUAACAAACAGGUAAGCAGAAAAGCAGCUGGCUAGCUGUUGGCUAAGGAAAGGAUGCCCGAAGGACCACUUUACCUCCUCAUGCCCCCCUAGCCAAUUGGUUAGGUUAUUCUUGUGUGGCUCUAGAAGCUGGAUCAAUCACCUAGUUUAAGGAAGGACAUAUUGGUGCAACUAAUAUUUUUAUCAGCUAAGGGUACAUGCACAGAAUUCUACUUUACCUAAUUAUAUCAAGACAAUUGCUGUUGGCUAUUAUAACGUGCCAAAAGCUUUACUGUAUGUCAAAUGUUUUCAAAAUAAACACAACUUAAAAUAAAUGCUUGGGAUUUCUUAGUUCAUUGUAUUUGUACUCUACUACUGUCCUCCAGGAGACUCAGUAAAGCAGAUAUGAGAUCAUUUCAUUUUGUCCCUGUGAAGCAGGCUAUUUUUUGAGCAGAAGGAUCAUCCAGUGAGAAUUAU